AUACGUAGGUGGCAAGCGUUGUCCGGAAUUAUUGGGCGUAAAGCGCGCGCAGGUGGUUCCUUAAGUCUGAUGUGAAAGCCCCCGGCUCAACCGGGGUGGGUCAUUGGAAACUGGGGAACUUGAGUGCAGAAGAGGAUAGUGGAAUUCCAAGUGUAGCGGUGAAAUGCGUAGAGAUUUGGAGGAACACCAGUGGCGAAGGCGACUGUCUGGUCUGUAACUGACACUGAGGCGCGAAAGCGUGGGGAGCGAACAGGAUUAGAUACCCUGGUAGUCCACGCCGUAAACGAUGAGUGCUAAGUGUUGGGGGGUUUCCGCCCCUCAGUGCUGCAGCUAACGCAUUAAGCACUCCGCCUGGGGAGUACGGUCGCAAGACUGAAACUCAAAUGAAUUGGCGGGG
rnacentral:rRNA from 1 species